UACGUAGGGGGCUAGCGUUGUCCGGAUUUAUUGGGCGUAAAGAGCGUGUAGGCGGCCAGGUAGGUCUGCUGUGAAAACUCGAGGCUCAACCUCGAGACGUCGGCGGAAACCAUCUGGCUAGAGUCCGGAAGAGGGUCGUGGAAUUCCCAGUGUAGAGGUGAAAUUCGUAGAUAUUGGGAAGAACAUCUGUGGCGAAGGCGGCCAUCUGGACCAGCACUGACACUGAGGCACGAAAGCGUGGGGAGCAAACAGG
rnacentral:rRNA from 1 species